rnacentral:tRNA from 1 species
GCAUUGGUGGGUCAGUGGUAGAAUUCUCACCUCUCAUGCGGGAGACUCUGGUUCAAUUCCUGACCAACGUA